rnacentral:lncRNA from 1 species
AUGACUUACACAAAAUUAUCGAGUGAAUCUGAUGCUUGGCAUGAGAAUUAUAUGGUAUCCUUCAAGAAGGGUAGCAUAAAACAAUUUUCAAUAGCUAUUACUCGGCAUGCUCUUUCACCAAGAUUAUUAUUGGAACAAUAUUGUUAGGAGGCAUUAGUGCAACAUGCCAUAUGCUGAAAACUAUUUGUUGAUUUAAAAUAUAAGGACUGAGUUUCGAAAGAAAGAUUUUGGUGUGCAUGAAGUUACACACACUAUUGCAUUUUCCCCACAAUUACCUAGUCAUGCUACAGACUAUCAACGACAUAAUUUUUUCUCUUUG